rnacentral:rRNA from 1 species
GACGUAGGGUGCGAGCGUUGUCCGGAUUUAUUGGGCGUAAAGAGCUCGUAGGCGGCUUGUUGCGUCGACUGUGAAAACCCGCGGCUUAACCGCGGGCUUGCAGUUGAUACGGGCAGGCUAGAGUUCGGUAGGGGGAGGACUGGAAUUCCUGGUGUAGCGGUGAAAUGCGCAGAUAUCAGGAGGAACACCGGUGGCGAAGGCGGGUCUCUGGGCCGAUACUGACGCUGAGGAGCGAAAGCGUGGGGAGCGAACAGG